rnacentral:rRNA from 1 species
CAAUAGCGUAUAUUAAAGUUGUUGCAGUUAAAAAGCUCGUAGUUGGAUUUCUGGUGGGAGCGAUCGGUCUGGCGCUUAGCGCGAGUACUUGAAUCGUCUCCGGCCAUCCUUGGGGAGAGUCUGUCUGGCAUUAAGUUGUCGGGCAGAGGAUCCUCAUCGUUUACUGUGAAAAAAUUAGAGUGUUCAAAGCAGGCUUAUGCCGUUGAAUAUAUUAGCAUGGAAUAAUAAGAUAGGACUUUGGUACUAUUUUGUUGGUUUGCGCACCAAAGUAAUGAUUAAUAGGGACAGUUGGGGGUAUUCGUAUUCCGUUGUCAGAGGUGAAAUUCUUGGAUUUACGGAAGACGAACUACUGCGAAAGCAUUUACCAAGGAUGUUUUCAUUAA